rnacentral:piRNA from 1 species
UUCCUUGUCCUGAAGCUUUGAUGG